rnacentral:pre_miRNA from 1 species
UAAGUACUCCCUCUGUCCGAAAAUACUUGUCAGAGGAAUGGAUGUAUCUAGACGUAAUUUAGUUUUAGAUACAUCCAUUUUCAUCCAUUUCUCCGACAAGUAUUUUCGGACGGAGGGAGUAUAAG